rnacentral:rRNA from 1 species
GACGAACGCUGGCGGCGUGCUUAAACAUGCAAGUCGAACGGAAAGGCCCUGCUUUUGUGGGUGCUCGAGUGGCGAACGGGUGAGUAACACGUGAGUAAGCUGCCCUUGACUUUGGGAUAACUUCAGGAAACUGGGGCUAAUACCGGAUAGGAGCUCCUGCUGCUUGGUGGGGGUUGGAAAGUUUCGGCGGUUGGGGAUGGACUCGCGGCUUAUCAGCUUGUUGGUGGGGUAGUGGCUUACCAAGGCUUUGACGGGUAGCCGGCCUGAGAGGGUGACCGGCCACAUUGGGACUGAGAUACGGCCCAGACUCCUACGGGAGGCAGCAGUGGGGAAUAUUGCACAAUGGGCGGAAGCCUGAUGCAGCAACGCCGCGUGCGGGAUGACGGCCUUCGGGUUGUAAACCGCUUUCGCCUGUGACGAAGCGUGAGUGACGGUAAUGGGUAAAGAAGCACCGGCUAACUACGUG